rnacentral:lncRNA from 1 species
CUAAAUAUGAGUCAGGCACAUCAUUUAAUUUUUUAAUCCUUGGAACAAUGAAUGGCAUGAGGCAGGUCCCAUUAUGUGCAUUUCACAAUUUGGAACACUUUGUGGAGAAAGGUAAAUAGCUUGCCAUGAACUCAUGGGUAGGCAGCCUGCCACAGCCUCCAGAACCACAUGAUGGUAGGGGAGAAAGAGAAAUAGGAAGUGAGGAUUUAGAAACAGCAUUAAAAACAAAGAUUGCUGGAGUUCAGAAUAGCAACGUUUUAGAUCUGUCAUUUUCCAGAAACAUCUCUGCAUGCAUAGUUAUUUACCUUGGUGCCAGACCGGAACUUGGGGGCUGUUUUCAUUUCUAGGUGAAAGCUCCUUGGCUUUGUGUAACCAUCGAUUUACUCUUAAAAAAGAAAAAAAAUCCUGGAGCUGAGUUUUGGUCUCUACCCAACAUAGAAUUCUAGGCGUUGGUUAGAAUAUUGACUUUUUAGUAAGAGGAGAAAAACGGCUUUUUGAGAAGGGAAAAUUAGAUUCACAAGUUUCAAAUAUUGCAGCAAAGUAAUUCUUAUCUGACUUUGAAAUCUUUUCCAUACCAAAAAAGCAUCAGUGAGAUGCUCCCCUGCCUGCCAGUGGCAAGAUUCAGGGCUUGCGUUUUGGAAGCUUCUCCCUGUGUGGUCGGGCCAUCACAGCCACAUUUCACAAUUUCUUUUUAACUCUUUCUGUGCCCCUCCCUCCUCCCCGGUGGCUGAAAGCACCAGCUCAGAGCAAACGUGUCCAAUGCUGGGCUGCCCGGCGACUUCCGCGAGGUGCUCCAGCAGCGGCUGGGGGAGCUGGAGAGGCAGCUUCUGCGCAAGGUGGCAGAGCUGGAGGACGAGAAGUCCCUGCUGCACAAUGAGACCUCGGCUCACCGGCAGAAGACCGAGAGCACCCUGAACGCGCUGCUGCAGAGGGUCACCGAGCUGGAGCGAGGUCUUUCCAGGCCUUCCCUGCAUCCUCUGCCUUCCCUCCCCCGGCCACUCCCCGUCUUAGCAGGAGCCACUGCCUGGACUUCCCUCGCGUACCUGCUGCUGGUUUCAUGUCACCUUCCCUGCCUGAAUGUAAGCUCCCUAAGGACAAGGACUCCAUCUUGUGUCCUGAAUCCUGCCAGACUUCAGCCUUUUAUCAGUGGCUGGUGUGGAGCGGUCUUUGGUCG